rnacentral:rRNA from 1 species
AUUGAACGCUGGCGGCAGGCCUAACACAUGCAAGUCGAACGAGUGGCGGACGGGUGAGUAAUGUAUGGGGAUCUGCCCGAUGGAGGGGGAUAACUACUGGAAACGGUGGCUAAUACCGCAUACUAUCGGAUGAACCCAUAUGGGAUUAGCUAGUAGGUGGGGUAAAGGCUCACUUAGGCGACGAUCCCUAGCUGGUCUGAGAGGAUGACCAGCCAAACUGGAACGGAGACACGGCCCAGACUCCUACGGGAGGCAGAAGUGGGGAAUAUUGCACAAUGGGCGCAAGCCUGAUGCAGCCAUGCCGCGUGUAUGAAGAAGGCCUUAGGGUUGUAAAGUACUUUCAGCGGGGAGGCGUUACCCGCAGAAGAAGCACCGGCUAACUCCGUGCCAGCAGCCGCGGUAAUUC